rnacentral:lncRNA from 1 species
CCAGACUUCAAGGAGGUGCUUCAUGAGGAGAGGUCCUGGCAGGAGUCCAUCCAGGCCUGCCGGAGCCGAAACCUGGACCUCAUCAGCCUCUCGGACCCGAUCCUCCAAAAGAAGAUCUACAACUGGACCCUGGGCCUCAACCUGAACCUGACGGAGCUGUGGAUGGGGCUGCGCAAGAGCUCCUACUCCGGCCGCUGGUACUGGAUCAGCGAGGCGCCUCUGAAGGACGAGGACUGGUCCAACGGCUCUCCAGGAGAAAGGGACAUGGGGAAGUGCGCCCGGAUCACCCUGAAGGACUCCAAGGACCCGGGCUGGAUCCACCACCACUGCUGCACAAAGGCCAAGGCUGUGUGCUACAAGCCCCGAAACUACUGACCCUCCCUACCCAGCCAGCAACAGGUUGAUACUCCGGCCAGAGCCAGGGCUGAACCAGGUCUAAACUAGGGCUCAUAGUCAGUAGGGCUUAUUUUGGCCAAUGUUACUUUAUUAUUAUUGUGUGAGGCUAUAAUAAAAACUGAUUUGACUUUAGUUCGAUCGUGCUGACAGAGAAGAUGCAGAACUUUGUCCAGUUUUUGUUUCAUGUGGAUAGGCCCAGUAACGCCACAGAUAAAAACCUUAAACCAAGUCGAAAUGUCUGACUUUGGGACUUUAUUAUGAUGAAAUGGCAACGUAAUCCACAAAUGUAAUAAUAACCGUGUGCUGUGACAAUAAAACUUCCUAAACCAAGUCAUCGGCUCAUUCUGUCGUCUGUAAAAGUUUCCUCAGAGGCGGAUACUUCUCGGAUAUAUACUCUCUAGUACAAAUACUUACUCCACAGUUUGCCUCUGUAGCUGUGAGGGCAAGGCUUAAGCUUGAGUCAUGUGUACGGGCUCAAUGUGAAUAAAUUGAUCGUCCAAACUUACAGAUAUGUAGUUACAUGUGUUUAAUUAUGAUGAAGAUUCCACAACAUAAGACCCACAGCUUCAUUACACGGUCAAAAAACAGGCUACCUGAGUUACAAGGCUCCGCCCGACACCCCUAAACCAAGUCCUCUGAUAGAUGGUCUUCUAUAGACCCUUAAAUUGUUUGUAAACAUUCCGGGCUUAGCUGGAGGCAGGAAGCUCGAUUCCUAUCUAUUUCCAUUGUAGCUGUUGUCAUAGUAACGAUAAACAAAUGUCUAACUGUUUUUGGAAAUAUCAGAUAAACCUUAUUUUAUCGUCUCAAAUGUCAUUCCUCUUGUUCUUACACCUUACGCCACAACAGGUACACAUUGUUCAGUUGUAGUUUUACACUUAAAAUCACUAGUUUUAGUUUAAU